GACAGAGGAGCCAAGCGUUGUCCGGAUUGACUGGGCGUAAAGCGCACGCAGGCGGUCGUGCACGUGGGGUGUGAAAACUGGCGGCUUAACUGCCAGAGGCCACCUCAUACGGCGCGACUCGAGCCCGUGAGAGGUCCAUGGAAUUGCCGGUGUAGUGGUGAAAUGCGUAGAGAUCGGCAGGAACACCCAGGGAGAAAUCAGUGGACUGGCACGGUGCUGACGCUCAGGUGCGAAAGCGUGGGGAGCGAACCGG
rnacentral:rRNA from 1 species